CUAAGGAACAGACAGCAGCAGUGAGAAAGUGACAGGUCACAGACCGUGGCGAAGGUUCAUUACCAACAUUACAGAUACCAGGAAUCUUUAAGCCAAUUGCCAACCAAAUUUUAGUUUUGAGUUUCACAACAUGCAAGUAUCCAUCACAGGAACAAGAGAAAGAUACAAAGUAAUAUAUGAUUGAAGAAUGUGUUCCGCAGGAUGGCAGAAAUGCUCAUAUGCAGACUAGAAAGACUCCAGGACAGAAUUUUUAAAGCAGCGAUACAGGCCCACACAAGACGCCCAUCUGUCCAACAAGGCUCCCACCAAUGGAACUUGCUGGUGACACGAUGGAUGAAUGGUGAGCCGUCUCAGACUGGGAAAGGCUGCAGCUGCCAGGAGUACAGAGAAGUCAGUCAGCUCCACGUGAGUGAAAUCUGCCUCAGAACUCAGAGCUAAUGUGGAACACAGAGGACUGCCCUUAUGUUUACAGACAGUUCUGUAAGUAACUGCUGUGCACUGCCAUCCAAAGGGUACAUUCACAGAUGGGCAAACUUCCAUACAUGGAACAUUUUGCCGUUAGGCAAGAGUAUAUUAGCAGUCACUUGGCAGCAACUGCUAUCCCUAUAUUGAUGCACCCAUUUUCAUAACUUUUCCCCAAAAACUGCCUUUUGGGAUGAAGUUCUUCAGACUUAUGCUCUGCCCAAUGGUGAAUUUUUAAGAAGAGUUUGAGCAAAGAGGAAUUUUUAUGAAGAGUUUGUGAAAGGAAGAAGGGGAAAGGGGUAAAAAAAAUAAAUCCCUCUCCUUUUUAAAAAUGUAACCCCCGUUU